CGAAACUCGCGCGGUGUCGCGCCAGCAUUCUCUGGUCUCCAACAAUUUGGAGAGCAGAAGUUCACACGUCUUGUAUUUAUCACGUUUUAACUUGCGAGUUGUAUUAUUAUUUGGUAUAAUUUGGUAUCAUUUCUCUUCGCAUUUCGUGGUAAUUGAACAGAGCAAUGCCAAGUUGUAUCGUAAAAAAUUGUAAAAAUAGGAGUUCACAGAAAUCUUUUAAGCAAGAAAUAUUAGAAGAAAAAAUAAAAAUUAGUUUCCAUAGGCUUCCUAAAAAGGAUGACAAGAGGAACUUGUGGAUGAAGCAACUAGGGUUAAAGCAAUCUGAUCUCCAUAACGAUACAGUCGUAUGUUCAAUACAUUUUAAGACUGAAGAUUUCGAUAAAACUUCGUUGACACGGAUACGGUUGCAGCCAAACGCUGUACCUUUCAUACAAGUUCCAGAAGAAAGGAGUAAGGUACAAAACGCAGACUUGUUCAAUGAUCAUUCAUACUCACGCUUACAUCCGGAGCGAGAUCUAAACGACAAUGCCGAUGCUAGACAUUCAGAGCAAAAUCUAAAGGACAAUCCUGGUACCGAACAUUCGGAGCAAAAUGUAAAGGACUAUUUUGACGUUGAACGUUUAGAGAAAAUCCAAAAAUUGGAACGUUCAACAGACAAUGCACGCUCAAUUCAGGAGCAAGAUAUAAAGGUCGAAUCUGACGCUGAACAUUUACUGGAAAUACCAAAGGUCGAAGUCCAAACAAGUGCAUGCGUAAGUCUCUCGUGUAUUCACGUACGAAAACGAUACCACAAAAUUAUCAUACGCAGGGUGUUGAAAAAAAAAAAACCAUUCAAUACUUGUACGGUACACAGGACACACUGUACUGAACAAAGCAGCUUUAACGAACACAGGUCGAAAGGUCAACCGUUUCUAAGACACGAACAUUUUUGUUCGCUAGUAUCACGAUUGACUCGCUCGCUCGCAUGCACGCGACGUUGACUUCAGUGUGUACAAACCGCAUUCUGAACGUUCUGAUUCAAGUACCGACAGUAGAUUUCAUUGAGAACCAGUCAGUCGUGGAUCGGCGAUUGCAGAUAUUACCCAGUCACAAGGUAUCGUGAAAACGUCAGCGUAUCACUCGAACGAAGAAACGACAGACACGCAUUUUACGUAUGGCCGUGUCAAUGGAAGUGCUUCAGCUGCACGACGAAUUUACGCGGAGACGUUUCUCAAUCGAAGGGUUCCCUCUCACACGCUGUUUCAAAAACUUCACCAACGUCUUCGUGAAACAGGCCGACCGACACCUCGCCAUCGAAACUCUGGCAGACCUAGAUCUGUAUCGACACCCAAUACUUGGAAGAAUUACGUAACCGAACCCACCAUGCUCGUCGAACAAUUCGACGAGAAACGUGGAAUUUUCGAGAGAGUUCGCGACUCUGUAAAAAGAAGAUGCCAAGCGUGUGUAGAAAUGGAAGGUGGACACGUGGAAAAUCUUCCGUAAACAUCGAAAAUUCAGUAACGUUCUCUGAGAACGACAAAGGAGUACAAGUCAACGUGGCACGUGAGGACAAAGCGACACGUAUAUCACCAGAAAGGCUAUUUCACACACC